rnacentral:rRNA from 1 species
GACGAACGCUGGCGGCGUGCUUAACACAUGCAAGUCGAGCGGAGCUGCGAACGGGUGAGUAACUCGUGAGUAACUGCCCCCCUCUCGGGGAUAACAGAUGGAAACGGCUGCUAAUACCGGAUAGUGGGGGAUGACUCGCGUCCUAUGAGCUUGUUGGUUGGGUAGUGGCCGACCAAGGCGACGACGGGUAGCCGGCCUGAGAGGGCGACCGGCCACAUUGGUCUGAGAUACGGACCAAACUCCUACGGGAGGCAUCAGGGGGGAAUAUUGCACAAUUGGGGAGACCGUGAUGCAGCAACGCCGCGUGCGGGAUGACGGCCUUCGGGUUGUAAACCGCUUUCAGCCAUGACGCGGUAGUGGCAGAAGAAGCACCGGCUAACUACGUGCCAGCAGCCGCGGUAAUAC